GAUGAAGAACGCAGCAAAAUGCGAUAAGUAAUGUGAAUUGCAGAAUUCAGUGAAUCAUCGAAUCUUUGAACGCACAUUGCGCCCGCUGGUAUUCCGGCGGGCAUGCCUGUUCGAGCGUCAUUUCAACCCUCAAGCCCCCGGGUUUGGUGUUGGGGAUCGGCUCUGCCCUUCUGGGCGGUGCCGCCCCCGAAAUACAUUGGCGGUCUCGCUGCAGCCUCCAUUGCGUAGUAGCUAACACCUCGCAACUGGAACGCGGCGCGGCCAUGCCGUAAAACCCCAACUUCUGAAUGUUGCCCUCGGAUCAGGUAGGAAUACCCGCUGAACUCAAGCAUAUCAAUAAGCGGAGGA
rnacentral:misc_RNA from 1 species